rnacentral:rRNA from 1 species
UCCUCCCUCUUUCUUCGUGCUUCCCCCCUGCACGUCGACCGCUGAAGCUCAGCUCUUGUUGGGUGGAUGAGUGGCGAACGGGUGAGUAACACGUGAGUAACCUGCCCCCUUCUUUGUGAUAACGCCCGGAAACGGGUGCUAAUACUGGAUAUUCUCUGUUCUUCGCAUGGGGGUUGGUGGAAAGGGCUUUUCUGGUGGUGGAUGUGCUCGCGGCCUAUCAGCUUGUUGUUGGGGUGAUGGGCUACCAAGGCUUUGACGGGUAGCCGGCCUGAGAGGGUGACCGGUAACAUUGAGACUGAGAUACGGCCCACACUAGUCAGGGAGGCAGAAGCGGGGAAUAUUGCACAAUGGGCGAAAGAGUGAUGCAGCGACGGCGCGUGAGGGAUGGAGGCCUUAGGGUUGUGAAACUAUUUAGCUCAUGGUCAAGCCGCAACAAUGGUUGUGGUGAGGGUAGUGGGUAAAGAAGCGACGGCUAACUACGUG